rnacentral:rRNA from 1 species
UACGAAGGGGGCUAGCGUUGUUCGGAAUUACUGGGCGUAAAGAGUGUGUAGGCGGUGUUCUAAGUUUGUCGUGAAAUCUCCCGGCUUAACUGGGAGGGUGCGGCGAAAACUGGAAUGCUAGAGGAUGGGAGAGGUAAGCGGAAUUCCUGGUGUAGCGGUGAAAUGCGUAGAUAUCAGGAGGAACACCGGUGGUGUAGACGGCUCUCUGGACCAUUACUGACGCUGAGACACGAAAGCGUGGGUAGCAAACAGG